GAUGAGCAUGCGUCCCAUUAGCUAGUUGGUAAGGUAACGGCUUACCAAGGCAACGAUGGGUAGGGGUCCUGAGAGGGAGAUCCCCCACACUGGUACUGAGACACGGACCAGACUCCUACGGGAGGCAGCAGUGAGGAAUAUUGGUCAAUGGGCGCAAGCCUGAACCAGCCAUGCCGCGUGCAGGAUGAAGCAUCUAUGGUGUGUAAACUGCUUUUGUACGAGAAGAAACACUCCUUCGUGAAGGAGCUUGACGGUAUCGUAAGAAUAAGGACCGGCUAACUCCGUGCCAGCAGCCGCGGUAAUACGGAGGGUCCAAGCGUUAUCCGGAAUCAUUGGGUUUAAAGGGUCCGUAGGCGGUUUUGUAAGUCAGUGGUGAAAGCCCAUCGCUCAACGGUGGAACGGCCAUUGAUACUGCAAGACUUGAAUUAUUAGGAAGUAACUAGAAUAUGUAGUGUAGCGGUGAAAUGCUUAGAGAUUACAUGGAAUACCAAUUG
rnacentral:rRNA from 1 species